rnacentral:rRNA from 1 species
GGGGAAUAUUGCGCAAUGGGCGAAAGCCUGACGCAGCGACGCCGCGUGAGGGAUGAAGGUCUUCGGAUCGUAAACCUCUGUCAGCAGGGAAGAACGGUCACUGUGCUAAUCAGCAGUGAAUUGACGGUACCUGCAAAGGAAGCACCGGCUAACUCCGUGCC